rnacentral:rRNA from 1 species
GUGGGGAAUAUUGGACAAUGGGGGGAACCCUGAUCCAGCCAUGCCGCGUGUGUGAAGAAGGCCUUUUGGUUGUAAAGCACUUUAAGCGAGGAGGAGGCUACCGAGAUUAAUACUCUUGGAUAGUGGACGUUACUCGCAGAAUAAGCACCGGCUAACUCUGUGCCAGCAGCCGCGGUAAUACAGAGGGUGCGAGCGUUAAUCGGAUUUACUGGGCGUAAAGCGUGCGUAGGCGGCUUUUUAAGUCUGAUGUGAAAUCCCUGAGCUUAACUUAGGAAUUGCAUUCGAUACUGGAAAGCUAGAGUAUGGGAGAGGAUGGUAGAAUUCCAGGUGUAGCGGUGAAAUGCGUAGAGAUCUGGAGGAAUACCGAUGGCGAAGGCAGCCAUCUGGCCUAAUACUGACGCUGAGGUACGAAAGCAUGGGGAGCAAACAGGAUUAGAUACCCGGGUAGUCC